GACGAACGCUGGCGGCGUGCUUAACACAUGCAAGUCGAACGGAAAGGCCCUGCUUUUGUGGGGUGCUCGAGUGGCGAACGGGUGAGUAACACGUGAGUAACCUGCCCUUGACUUUGGGAUAACUUCAGGAAACUGGGGCUAAUACCGGAUAGGAGCUCCUGCUGCAUGGUGGGGGUUGGAAAGUUUCGGCGGUUGGGGAUGGACUCGCGGCUUAUCAGCUUGUUGGUGGGGUAGUGGCUUACCAAGGCUUUGACGGGUAGCCGGCCUGAGAGGGUGACCGGCCACAUUGGGACUGAGAUACGGCCCAGACUCCUACGGGAGGCAGCAGUGGGGAAUAUUGCACAAUGGGCGGAAGCCUGAUGCAGCAACGCCGCGUGCGGGAUGACGGCCUUCGGGUUGUAAACCGCUUUCGCCUGUGACGAAGCGUGAGUGACGGUAAUGGGUAAAGAAGCACCGGCUAACUACGUGCCAGCAGCCGCGGUGAUACGUAGGGUGCGAGCGUUGUCCGGAUUUAUUGGGCGUAAAGGGCUCGUAGGUGGUUGAUCGCGUCGGAAGUGUAAUCUUGGGGCUUAACCCUGAGCGUGCUUUCGAUACGGGUUGACUUGAGGAAGGUAGGGGAGAAUGGAAUUCCUGGUGGAGCGGUGGAAUGCGCAGAUAUCAGGAGGAACACCAGUGGCGAAGGCGGUUCUCUGGGCCUUUCCUGACGCUGAGGAGCGAAAGCGUGGGGAGCGAACAGGCUUAGAUACCCUGGUAGUCCACGCUGUAAACGGUGGGUACUAGGUGUGGGGUCCAUUCCACGGGUUCCGUGCCGUAGCUAACGCUUUAAGUACCCCGCCUGGGGAGUACGGCCGCAAGGCUAAAACUCAAAGGAAUUGACGGGGCCCCGCACAAGCGGCGGAGCAUGCGGAUUAAUUCGAUGCAACGCGUAGAACCUUACCUGGGUUUGACAUGGAUCGGGAGUGCUCAGAGAUGGGUGUGCCUCUUUUGGGGUCGGUUCACAGGUGGUGCAUGGCUGUCGUCAGCUCGUGUCGUGAGAUGUUGGGUUAAGUCCCGCAACGAGCGCAACCCUUGUUCACUGUUGCCAGCACGUUAUGGUGGGGACUCAGUGGAGACCGCCGGGGUCAACUCGGAGGAAGGUGGGGAUGACGUCAAGUCAUCAUGCCCCUUAUGUCCAGGGCUUCACGCAUGCUACAAUGGCUGGUACAGAGAGUGGCGAGCCUGUGAGGGUGAGCGAAUCUCGGAAAGCCGGUCUCAAUUCGGAUUGGGGUCUGCAACUCGACCUCAUGAAGUCGGAGUCGCUAGUAAUCGCAGAUCAGCAACGCUGCGGUGAAUACGUUCCCGGGGCU
rnacentral:rRNA from 1 species